AAUAUCAAAGGUGAUCCAGUACAGGAUGGACCCGCGUCUGAUUAGCUAGUUGGUAAGGUAACGGCUUACCAAGGCGACGAUCAGUAGCCGACCUGCGAGGGUGAUCGGCCACAUUGGAACUGAGACACGGUCCAAACUCCUACGGGAGGCAGCAGUGGGGAAUAUUGCACAAUGGGCGAAAGCCUGAUGCAGCAACGCCGCGUGAGUGAUGAAGGCCUUCGGG
rnacentral:rRNA from 1 species